rnacentral:rRNA from 1 species
UAAGCUUCCUACGCGGAGGCUGCAGUGGGGAAUAUUGGACAAUGGCUCGCAAGCCUGAUCCAGCCAUGCCGCGUGUGUGAAGAAGGCCUUAUGGUUGUAAAGCACUUUAAGCGAGGAGGAGGCUACUUUAGUUAAUACCUAGAGAUAGUGGACGUUACUCGCAGAAUAAGCACCGGCUAACUCUGUGCCAGCAGCCGCGGUAAUACAGAGGGUGCAAGCGUUAAUCGGAUUUACUGGGCGUAAAGCGCGCGUAGGCGGCUAAUUAAGUCAAAUGUGAAAUCCCCGAGCUUAACUUGGGAAUUGCAUUCGAUACUGGUUAGCUAGAGUGUGGGAGAGGAUGGUAGAAUUCCAGGUGUAGCGGUGAAAUGCGUAGAGAUCUGGAGGAAUACCGAUGGCGAAGGCAGCCAUCUGGCCUAACACUGACGCUGAGGUGCGAAAGCAUGGGGAGCAAACAGGAUUAGAUACCCUUGUAGUCGAAUUCU